UCGGAUUUAGUUUGGUAACUUCUUUAGGUAUAGCAUAAUCGGUCGCUUUGUUUUUGUUUACUUCUGAACUUUGUACUGAACUUUGUCUUUUGAUUGCGGCUAUGUAGAUGACAGCACACAUCUCAGUUGCCGACAUCCAUCUACAAGCUGCUAAGAAGAAAGCAACGACCGAUGCCAAACCAUCCCGACCGUUGAAGAGAAGUCGGGGUGAGUCUGGGUCGGUAUCGACGAGGG
rnacentral:lncRNA from 1 species